rnacentral:tRNA from 1 species
GCCACUUUAGCUCAGUUGGUAGAGCAUCUCACUCGUAACGAGAAGGUCUGCAGUUCGAUUCUGCAAUGUGGCU